rnacentral:lncRNA from 1 species
AGACCAUCCUGACUAACACGGUGAAACCCCGUCUCUACUAAAAAUACAAAAAAUUAGCCGGGCGUGGUGGCGGGCGCCUGUAGUCCCAGCUUCUCCGGAGGCUGAGGCAGGAGAAUGGCGUGAACCCGGGAGGCGGAGCUUGCAGUGAACCGAGAUCGCGCCACUGCACUCCAGCCUGGGCGACAGAGCGAGACUGUCUCAAAAGAAAAAGAAAAAAGAAAAUGGGAUAUUUAUUGGGAUGGAAAUGGUGCCCAAAAGUAAAGGAACAAGCCCCAAAACCGGCGGGCGAUCAUGGGGACAGGGAGGUCCCUGCUUGCUGGCGUGUAGCGUUGGAAGCCAGACCCGUUUCCAUGGACCACUCUUCCCAAAAACAAUUUCUUGGUAAGAGACUUUAGAUGAAAGAACAACUCAUGAAUUUGCUAGCAGUCCUUCCCAGAGGUGGACAUCAGCCCAGCAUCUGAACUUUGGCAGCGAUACUGGCUUUUCUCUCCCCACCUCUCAGCCACAGAUCUAUGGGGUCUGCUUAUCGUUCCUGCAUGCAGGGGAUAUUUUAGGAAACUGUUUGUAUGUUGGCAGCUGUCCCUGGCCUGACCAGAGCGCACCUCCGCAGACAGACAUAUUCUGCAGAUUUCGAACAAAGCAAAUAUGUUGAUUUUGGCAUAGGUUAGCCCCAACUUAUCAGACUAUAUCGCUUGGUCGACUAUGAGAAAAUAUCCAGGGAAAACACAUUUUAUGACUUUAAUUGUUGUUAUAGGUGCUUUCAAAAAAUAAAUCUGUGACCUGUAAUAUAUUUAAGUGAAAGAACUCACAUCUGGUUCCGAUUAGCUCUGGAGUCUGUUGGCUGACUUAGCACGGGAGCCUUUUCUGGAAGUCAACUCUGUGUCUAGGGAUUUUGUUUUCGCCCAAAGAGGCACAGUGAAGACCUUGUUUCAGCACAAAGGCAUUAACUGUUAGUGUGACCCCUUGUGAACGUGGAAAUGCUAACCAAAGACCUCAAAGUCAGAAUCUUGUCCUGGAGGCCUGAGACAGGCAAGUCUAGAGGCAAGAGCGGAACCGAUGAGAGAGAACGUUCCAGCUCAACUGACUUGGCAUUGAACGUUGCCACUUUAGCCUCCAUUCACAAGGAGGACCAGUAGAAGCUUUGCUGCAGACAGUGACACCUCUCACCCUCAUUCUGAGUAAGAGGACAAAAUCAAUAAUAAAUACAGAGGUAUAUCUCAUUUUCAUUAUGAGCAAGGUGGUACAACCUGUGACAGACACCCUGGAACCUCUCACUUUCUUCUCACAAGAUGGUAACAGCUGUAAUCAUGGCUCUUAUGUAAUAAACACAUCAGCAUGUCUCACUUUCUUUCUGGGGAAUAUGGCAGGAUUCAUCAUAAAAAUGGGUGAAAUGAAGCCAACACAGCCAGUAGCUGCACUGCAGCCCAUAGAUUCUGAGGAUUCUACAAAGCAAUGUGUAGAAUGAGAUGCCUUUGACCUGAAUUCUCGGGAUUUUAAAAUCUGCUGACAGUAGCAGUUUCUGGCUAGCAGGGGCAUCACAGCUUUUCUUGGAUCCCUCUCUGGAGGCAAGAAGAAGAUGGCUACAACCUCCAGUUCCUCCCUCUCCCACUCACAUUCUUCUGGUGGAUGAUGGAAGCAGUGAAACUAACCCACCCCAGAGCCGUGUAGGAAAAUAGCAUUCUGGACUUCUCCUGGGACAGGAGUGGAUCUGUUUUGGGGUGGCCUCUUCUCACUUCUCCAUCUAGAUGGCCCUCCAUCCCCUAAUUACACCCUGAACUCCAAGAGCUCCAUCCUUGUUCAGCUGCACCACGUUGCCUCUCAAAGGAGACAGAGACCAAUUUUUACCAGGUACACCUCUGAACAGAGCGAGGUAACGAGAUCCUUGAACAAACCUAACUUCACAGGGGAAAGACAGUUUCUUUGCCCAAUUGCAUGCAUAUAUACAUGUAAUAGACUUCAGCCUUCAAAAAGUCUUUGACAAGUGGUGCCAUGUAAGGCUCCAUGAGUCAUUGGAUGGUUGGUGGUUUUUUGUCACAGGUAGGAAGCUACCUUAGUGGCAAGGAUAAAUGGGUGCUUCUCUGGAUGGAAACGUAUGAAUAAUAAUCUUUCAAAUAGCCAAUGGGCCGGGCACAGUACUUAUGCCUGUAAUCCUAGCACUUUGGGAGGCUGAGAGGCCAGGAGUUCGAGACCAGCCUGGCCAAGAGACGGUGAAAUCCCAUCUUUACUAAAAAUUGGUGGGGCAUGCCUGUAAUCCCAGCUACUCGGGAGGCUGAGACAGGAGACUCGCUGGAACCCGGGAGGCAGAGGUUGCAGUGAGCUGAGGUGGCGCCACUGCACGCUAGCCUGGGUGACAGACAGAGGCUCUGUCUCAAAAAAUAAAACAAAAUAAAAUAGCCAGUGAUCAUUGAGCUUUUAUUAUGUGCAAGGCAUUGCUCUAAGCACAUUACAAGUAUUAGCUCAUCUUAGCCUCACCACAGCCCUCUAAGGGAAGUAAUAGUGUGAUACCAAUUUUACAGAUGAGGAAACAGUUACAAAGAGUUUAAGUGACUUGACUAAGCUAGUUCUAGAACAAUCGUUGGUGACAUUACAAUAAUUCAUUUUGAUUUUAUAGUAAAAUUUCAUAGUAAAUAUGGUAAAAUUGUAAUGUUUGUGAAUGACACAAAAACACUUACAAGUAUUGAAAAGUCCAUGAGAAUAAAUUGCAGAAAGACGCUGUUAGGUCCCUGGUCACAUUUUUGGCUCUGUCUGUCUUCAGUCUCCCAACAAUUCUAACCCUGCGUCAUCCCUCAACAAUGUCUCCUCCUUCCCAAGCCCUAGCAGCCAUCCUUUAUUCAGGCCUUUACUCUGUCUGCCUUGAACCCGUCUGAUGGCCUCUUAACUAGUCUCUUGGCUUCCUAUCACCUCCACACCCCAAUUCAGUUAAAACAUCACUGCCAGAUUAAAUGAACACAGUACAGCUCUGUCCUAGGCAAAGCCUGCAGAUACCUACAUUCAAGGUUGUAGCUAACUUUUCCAGUGUGACUUGAGUUAUGCUUUUUGAUUCAAUACAUUUUUGUUGAGCCAAAGUGCUAUUGGUAGGUUCUGGAAAUUCAAAAUGGAAAGGACACAGUACUUGUCCUCAGAUUGUUUAUCAUAGUGAGAAGUCACACUUGUAAACAAACAAAUGUAAAAUAACAAGAUAAUUGUUCCAACAUAGGAAUGGACAAAAGAAAUUGGGAGAAGCACCUACCUCUGUCCAGAGGUAUCAGAAAGGGCUUCACAGAGAAAGGGAGCUUUGAGCUAACAGGACAAGUGGAAUUUCCUAGUGGACCAGCCUGGGGAGUGAGGGCACAGUGAGGAGCGUGCCCUGGUGUGUGCUGGUGGAAAAGCAACUGGCUAAGUCUAGUUAGAGUGCAGGGUUUGAUGGA